GACGAACGCUGGCGGCGCGCUUAACACAUGCAAGUCGAACGGAAAGGCCCUGCUUUUGUGGGGUGCUCGAGUGGCGAACGGGUGAGUAACACGUGAGUAACCUGCCCUUGACUUUGGGAUAACUUCAGGAAACUGGGGCUAAUACCGGAUAGGAGCUCCUGCUGCAUGGUGGGGGUUGGAAAGUUUCGGCGGUUGGGGAUGGACUCGCGGCUUAUCAGCUUGUUGGUGGGGUAGUGGCUUACCAAGGCUUUGACGGGUAGCCGGCCUGAGAGGGUGACCGGCCACAUGGGGACUGAGAUACGGCCCAGACUCCUACGGGAGGCAGCAGGGGGGAAUAUUGCACAAGGGGCGGAAGCCGGAUGCAGCACCGCGGCGUGCGGGAUGACGGCCUUCGGGUUGUAAACCGCUUUCGCCUGUGACGAAGCGUGAGGGACGGUAAGGGGUAAAGAAGAACCGGCUAACGACG
rnacentral:rRNA from 1 species